AUAUAGAAACCGCCCCGCCACGGUGGUCUAGUGGUUAUGGCUUUCGACUGCUGACCCGAAGGUCGCGCGAUCGAAUCCCGACCGAGGCUGCUGCAUUUUCGAUGGAGGCGAAAUGUUUGAGGCCCGUGUACUUAGAUUUAGGUGCACGUUCAAGAACCCCAGGUGGUCAAAAUUUCCGGAGCCCUCCACUACGGCGUCCCUCAUAAAUAUAUCUGGUUUUCGGACGUUAUACCCCAAAUAUUAUU
rnacentral:lncRNA from 1 species